rnacentral:rRNA from 1 species
GUUGUAUAGUUAAGUGACUAAGCGUACAAGGUGGAUGCCUUGGCAAUCAGAGGCGAAGAAGGACGUGCUAAUCUGCGAAAAGCUUGGAUGAGUCGAUAAGAGGCGUUUAAUCCAAGAUAUCCGAAUGGGGAAACCCAGUAGAUGAAGAAUCUACUAUCAACAAGUGAAUUCAUAGCUUGUUGAGGCAAACCGGGAGAACUGAAACAUCUAAGUACCCCGAGGAAAAGAAAUCAACCGAGAUUUCGUCAGUAGUGGCGAGCGAAAGCGAAAGAGCCAGUAAGUGAUAGCAGUAUAGUUAGGAGAAUGUGUUGGGAAGCACAAUCAAAGAGGGUGAUAAUCCCGUAUCUAAAAACUAUAUUGUGGUACUAAGCUAACGAGAAGUAGGGCGGGACACGUGAUAUCCUGUUUGAAGAAGGGGGGCCCAUCCUCCAAGGCUAAAUACUCCUGAUUGACCGAUAGUGAACCAGUACUGUGAAGGAAAGGCGAAAAGAACCCCGGUGAGGGGAGUGAAAUAGAACCUGAAACCUUGUACGUACAAGCAGUGGGAGCCCCAUCACUUAAUCCGAUUGGAAGGUGAUGAAAAGCAACCGCACUUAAACAAUGGUAAGAGGAGCGAAGCGAGUCAAACCACCCAAAAGAAGCAGUGGGAUUAAGUGAUGGGGUGACUGCGUACCUUUUGUAUAAUGGGUCAGCGACUUAUAUUUUGUAGCGAGGUUAACCGAAUAGGGGAGCCGAAGGGAAACCGAGUCUUAACUGGGCGAAUAGUUGCAAGGUAUAGACCCGAAACCCGGUGAUCUAGCCAUGGGCAGGUUGAAGGUUGGGUAACACUAACUGGAGGACCGAACCGACUAAUGUUGAAAAAUUAGCGGAUGACUUGUGGCUGGGGGUGAAAGGCCAAUCAAACCGGGAGAUAGCUGGUUCUCCCCGAAAUCUAUUUAGGUAGAGCCUUGAGGUGACACCUUUGGGGGUAGAGCACUGUUUCGGCUAGGGGUCCAUCCCGGAUUACCAACCCGAUGCAAACUACGAAUACCAAAGAGUGAUACUCAGGAGACACACGGCGGGUGCUAACGUCCGUCGUGGAGAGGGAAACAACCCAGACCGCCAGCUAAGGUCCCCAAGUCUAUAUUAAGUGGGAAACGAAGUGGGAAGGCUUAGACAGCUAGGAUGUUGGCUUAGAAGCAGCCAUCAUUUAAAGAAAGCGUAAUAGCUCACUAGUCGAGUCGGCCUGCGCGGAAGAUGUAACGGGGCUGAAAUAUAGCACCGAAGCUGCGGCAUCAG